GACGAACCGUGCGAACGUUGUUCGGAAUCACUGGGCUUAAAGGGCGCGUAGGCGGGCGAUCGAGUCAGGGGUGAAAUCCUCCGGCUCAACCGGAGAACUGCCUUUGAUACUGGUCAUCUCGAGUGAGGUAGGGGCAUGCGGAACUGAUGGUGGAGCGGUGAAAUGUGUUGAUAUCAUCAGGGACUCCGGUGGCGAAAGCGGCGUGCUGGACCUUUACUGACGCUGAUGCGCGAAAGCCAGGGGAGCGAACGGG
rnacentral:rRNA from 1 species